CCACUGUCGCUAGGUCAUCACUCUCCCAUUGGGUACUGUCGUUACAUCAAUCAUCUUAUCCUAUGCUCUCUCAUUGGCUCCUCUACUGCCACACCACUGUCUGAUUGGCUCCCGUCUCUGUCUGUCAUUAGGUGAUAUCGUCGCGGGGCGGGCGCUUCCUGGAGGCUCCUGUGGCUGGGAGCCAGCAGGUAUCUAACGAAGGCAUGCUGGUCAUCCUAGCGGCCGGAGACAGGACGGUCUACGAAGACUGCAGCUCCUGUUUCCAGGCCAUGGGCAAGACCUCAUUCUUCCUAGGUGAGGUGAGACAUCACAACCCUCCCAGGUGAGGAGAGACAUCACAACCCUCCCAGGUGAGGAGAGGGUCAUGUUUCCAGGUGAACAGACUAUAUGGCUUUCAAAGCUAGUACACUGAAAAACACUUUAAAUGUAUCCCAAAUUGUACCCUAUUCCCUUUGUUGUGCACUACUUAUGACCAGGGCCCAUAGGAAGUAGUGCAGUACUUUUGACCAGGGCCCAUAGGAAGUAGUGCAGUACUUUUGACCAGGGCCCAUAUGAAGUAGUACAGUACUUUUGACCAGGGCCCAUAUGAAGUAGUGCAGUACUUUUGACCAGGGCCCAUAUGAAGUAGUGCAGUACUUUUGACCAGGGUCCAUAUGAAGUAGUGCAGUACUUUUGACCAGGGCCCAUAGGAAGUAGUGCAGUACUUCUGACCAGGGCCCAUAGGAAGUAGUGCAGUACUUUUGACCAGGGCCCAUAUGAAAUAGUGCAGUACUUUUGACCAGGGCCCAUAUGAAGUAGUGCACUGUAAAGGGAAAAGUGUGUCAUUUGGGAUGCUCCCUGAAUUGCAAAUGUCCUGUAGGUUUAAAAGGUCGUGUUAAUGAGGGGAACAGAGCCAGAGCCAGUCAGUAUGGGAACAGUUAACUGUAUGUGUGGUACAUAGUAUGAGUAAAUCCCAUGUUGAUUAUGCAGAUUGUUGCAUUCUCUAUUGUUAGAGAAUAAUAUAAUCAUUCCAUAAUUAUUCCAGGACUU
rnacentral:lncRNA from 8 species